AUGAAAGAUCUCUACCUUGACUUCAAAAUAUUGAUCAACAAACUGAAGAAUGACACGCUCUCCAAGCUAGCGUGCGGGGCGGUCGACGGACUUAUGGAUGGCCAAGUCGGCCUAGGAAGCGCCGGCGUCUGGCUCGUCGGGCAUUCCCUCGGCGCAUCACUGGCGCUGGACGUGGGGCGGCACAUGAUGGAGAGGCUGGAGCUGAACCUCCCGACCUUCCUAUUCAAUCCGCCGCAGGUGUCGCUGACAGCGGCCAUGAACUUGCUGAACGCGCAGGACGUGGUCAAGAAGCACCUGCACUUCACGAGUUACUUCAUCAAGGCCGGUGCGGCAACAGUCUCGUGUUGCCACAGGGAGCGCAUGGAGAAGCUGUUCGCCCGGCUUUCUCCAUGGGUGCCGAAUCUGUACCUGCACGAGAAGGACUGGAUCUGCCUGGGCUUCAUCGACUACUUCGAGCUGCGGCAGCAGUUCAUGGACCGCUUUCCCUGUGUUGCAAGCAAGUCUAUGACGCUGUCGUACCGUGACAUGCUCUGGCGCCUGCUUGGCAAGGACAAGGAGCGGCCGCAUCUCCUGCCAUCGGCGAUGCUGUGGAAGACCGCGCAAAGCAGCCUCGAUGCGCACGGGCUCCAGCAGUGGUAG
rnacentral:rRNA from 1 species